rnacentral:sRNA from 1 species
UCGUCUACUAAGUGCUGCCACGUCCUGUGGCAAACGUAGACGUCAGCACUUCCUGUG